UAAAUUUUUCAGUCUUUCCAAUUUCCAAGCACUUCUCUUCCCUUCUCUUCUAUAAACAAAGCACUUCAUUUUCUACAUUUGUCAACAGUCUUCUAAUUUCUUUUCAAGAUAAACUCACUCAUCAUGGCUCCUGAUCUCACCACCGCCACCAAGACUACCUCUCUCGUUAAGCAAGCUAGCAUAUCUAGCUGUGCUUAUGUGACGUUCUUGGCUGGUAAUGGAGACUAUGUGAAAGGUGUUGUCGGCUUAGCCAAGGGCUUGAGGAAAGUUAAUAGCAAAUACCCACUAGUGGUAGCUAUCUUGCCUGAUGUCCCAGAGGAGCACCGCAAGAUUCUGAUCUCUCAGGGGUGCAUAGUCAGGGAAAUUGAACCUUUGCACCCACCUGAGAACCAGACCCAAUUUGCC
rnacentral:misc_RNA from 1 species